GGAUAUGAGGGUGAUCUGGCUAUGACAUCUGUCACCCCAUUGAUCUCUAGGGUUGCUUUGGCUCAUCUGGGUGGCUAGGUGGGUGUCCCCUUCCUCCCUCACCACUUCAUGUGUUUGUCUCCCAAACCUAUGCACUCAAUUGAGGAGGAUGACCUCCCACCUCCGCAAGAGGAGAGCAAUUCCCUCGGUCAAGGGUAUAUGAGUAGCUGCGGUCCCCUGCUAGAACUCCAAACAACUCUCAGGAAGAUGGAAUGGUCCCUCAACCACCAGCUGGUGCU
rnacentral:snRNA from 1 species